rnacentral:lncRNA from 1 species
GCGGAGGCAGAGGCGGAGGACAGGAUGAGGAUGAGGAGAAGGAACGAAGGGGAGGGAAGCGACGGUAGUAUCGUCGAGCUCCAAAGCAUAGGCGGAGCAUAAUUUUGGUACUGCUUCCCAAUUCCCCUUCCGAAAUCACAGAUUUCUUCUUCUUCUUUUUUUCCGUUCAGAUAGAUAAAUGGGGAAUUGGGAUGGUAGAAAAUGAGAG